UGCGCUGGACCGUUUGAGUUAAUUCAUUAAGAUAUGGCUCCAUCGGCUCGCAUACGUGGUUCAAUCUAAACCGUCCGUUGGUUUCGUUUUAUAGAAAUUUUCAACUAAAUUCGGAGCCGAACUGGUAAAUAAUUACCGGAGGUAAAUUCGGUAGAUGAUCAACAAAUCUUUGUCUCGAACUGCUAUAGGAAUCUAAAAUCUUGGCCGUCCGUUUUUUUAUGCUGAUUCAAAUCCACUUUCCCAAGUCAUCUCAUGAGAGGCCCACGUGUACGCCACCGUCCAGAAAUACAAUUAACAUCGACGGUUGAUAUCUAUUACAUCUGACGGUUAUGAAUCAGCCACGCCAUUACGAAUCACCCGGAAUCUAAUGCCAACGAAGCAUUAAUUUUAUGAAAUGCAAACCAAAAGAUUCAAGUUUGUCCUCAAUUAGCAAUAA